rnacentral:ncRNA from 2 species
CCCCGAGGAGCGUUGCAUCGCCGCGGCUGCAGGGCAGCCCGGCGCCAGGCUCGGGAUCGAACAACGACGCUCACCGGCC